rnacentral:rRNA from 1 species
GAUGAACGCUGACAGAAUGCUUAACACAUGCAAGUCAUUGGCGAAGCUGCGCUUGCGCAGUCUAGCCAAGGCGGACGGGUGAGUAACGCGUAAGGAACUUGCCCUGCAGACAGGGAUAACAGACGGAAACGACUGAUAACACCUGGUAUUGUCAGGCUGGCGCAUGCCGGCCUGAUGAAAGGAGACGCUGCAGGAGAGCCUUGCGUCCUAUUAGCUAGUUGGUGGGGUAACGGCCCACCAAGGCGAUGAUAGGUAGCCGGCCUGAGAGGGUGAACGGCCACAAGGGGACUGAGAUGCGGCCCUUACUCCUACGGGAGGCAGCAGUGGAGAAUAUUGGACAAUGGGGGCAACCCUGAUCCAGCAAUUCUGUGUGCACGAAGAAGGUUUUCGGAUGGUAAAGUGCUUUCAGCAGGGAAGAAGAAAGUGACGGUACCUGCAGAAGAAGCGACGGCUAAAUACGUG